rnacentral:rRNA from 1 species
AUUGAACGCUGGCGGCAGGCCUAACACAUGCAAGUCGAGCGAGCGGCGGACGGGUGAGUAAUGUAUGGGGAACUGCCCGAUAGCGGGGGAUAACUACUGGAAACGGUGGCUAAUACCGCAUACUAUCGGAUGUACCCAUAUGGGAUUAGCUAGUAGGUGGGGUAAAGGCUCACCUAGGCGACGAUCCCUAGCUGGUCUGAGAGGAUGAUCAGCCACACUGGGACGGAGACACGGUCCAGACUCCUACGGGAGGCAGCAGUGGGGAAUAUUGCACAAUGGGCGCAAGCCUGAUGCAGCCAUGCCGCGUGUAUGAAGAAGGCCUUAGGGUUGUAAAGCACUUUCAGCGAGGAGGCGUUACCCGCAGAAGAAGCACCGGCUAACUCCGUGCCAGCAGCCGCGGUAAUUC